CCGCGCGCAUCUGGAAACUACGCCCCGCCAUGGAGCCCUCUUUUCGCGCCUGUCAUCGCGCACGCCCAAAUCCAAUCCCCCCAGAUCUCCUUAUCCUUUCCUUCUGCGCCGCCCAAUCCCUCUGCUUUUGAGGCCUCCGACCACCAUCCCUCCAUGGCUCCCCGCCUUCCAAGGUCACACGAGCGCCUCAACCUGCACUCUAUGAUGUGGAUCUGUACCCGCCGGCCACCACCAUCCAUGGCUCCUCCGCUACUGGGACACGGCGUCGUCCCAUCUCCGUUCUGGAUAUCACCAUGCGACACCAACGCUUGUCCUCCUCCUCCACCAUGGCCCUGCUCAGACCACGCCGCCAUCGAUGCCACCGUUGAGAAUCUACCCCAACUCGAGCAGUUCACCGGCGUCAUGGAGGAAGCGCUAAGCAGCUGCAUUGCAAAUAUGAGGAACAUCAUCCGUGCAAGAAGUUCAGAUUCACUCGACGGCAAGAAAUAGUGUCAUAUUUUUCUUCCAAAUAGUAUGUACCAUUCCCCACAUUGAUACUUAUGAUCACCCAUUUGAUAUCUCCUUUUCCUAGUUACAGUUCAUCCAGGUCAGGAGUAGGAUUUAAGGUUCAUGAUCCAACUAUAAGAGACGUGUAAAAUCCUUUGCCCUUGACAUGAUCAUGCUAUCUUCAAUAUGCUCAAGAACAUCUGAAAUGCACCUAGACAUUAUAUUUCAGAGUAUUGACAAUGAAACUGUACCAGGAAAGGAUUAUUACCAGCAGCUUUGCUCAAGAUAUGAAUGCUCUGUUAUAACAAUGAACAAGCCAGGGAUACGUUCAGGGGCUCCUAUCAUGGGCCAUACUAUAUGUCAUCUUAAUUUAGUUACUCCUUUUACUACUUGCUUCUUGGAAUUUCCUAUUCUCUUGUUAUCCUCCCUCCGUUCCGAAUUACUUGUCGUAGAAAUGGAUGUAUCUAGACAUUUUUUCCAUUUCUAUGACAAGUAAUUCUGAACGGAGGAAGUAGUACUUAACAGUUCUAGUGUAUUCCUCAUAUUUAAGCUCACCGUGUUCUUCCUUCUCCCUUAAGUUGUAUUUGGUUUUUCUUUCUUAUAUUAAAGAUUGAACAAUUGCAGUGCAAGCACACAAUUGGAUGUUCCUGCUGGAGAAGGUUUUUGGGAAGAAUUAAACGAACAUCAUCAGUGCAACAUAGAGGUUGAAGCAGGUGGUUGAGGUAUCACUCAAUUUCAAGAAAUUGAAUAAGAUUCUUCCAAGUGAAAUGGCACUAUUCCCUUUCAUAUUUUGUUCUAUGCACAUGAACCUAGAAAUUAAAUAUUGAUCAACACCUGAUGGAGGACUUGUUUUUCUAGUUCGCAAUUCAUUCUUAUUAGGAACAAAAUUCAAGAUCACGUAUCUGUGAGAUAUGCAAGAGCCUCUAAUCAAGGGUAACCUUGAAGGGAAGAUUGCAACUUAAGCUGCAACUAAAGAUUAUAGAAAAUGAGGUCUCUCUUGUGUAUAUUUAGUUGAUGCACUUGUGUGUUUUUAGAUGUUGCACCUCUGUUUCCAUUGACCUUCGAUUCAUGUACGUAAAUUCUAUGGAACUGUAUCCGAAGACAUGUGAAUUUGUAUCUCUGGUUGAUGGAAACAAUUGAUAGUGAUGUUUCUAUGUUAUAAAUAUUCUGAGUUAUGGAAUAGUUAUGUAUAAAACC